GCCAUCUGAAAACAGAGAAACGCGUAGACAUGUAAGCACGUAAAGGAGGGGGCGGAGCCUGAUCACAAGCCGGGAAUUCUGAAAGGCAGCCACUGAACACUCGUCUGCUACCCGGACUGCACUUAAGGAACUCCACCUAACCUCUAUUCAGGAGGCAUCUCCCAGUGUGGGAAAACCUUGUUGUGAGUAAUGGGAAUAUAC